rnacentral:rRNA from 1 species
GAAAGAAUAUCGGAGACGGAUGGGCAUGCGGCGCAUUAGCUAGUUGGCGGGGUAACGGCCCACCAAGGCGACGAUGCGUAGGGGUUCUGAGAGGAAGGUCCCCCACACUGGUACUGAGACACGGACCAGACUCCUACGGGAGGCAGCAGUGAGGAAUAUUGGUCAAUGGGCGAGAGCCUGAACCAGCCAAGUCGCGUGAGGGAGUACUGCCCUAUGGGUUGUAAACCUCUUUUGUCGGGGAGCAAAAGCCGGACGUGUCCGGCUGUGAGAGUACCCGAAGAAAAAGCAUCGGCUAACUCCGUGCCAGCAGCCGCGGUAAUACGGAGGAUGCGAGCGUUAUCCGGAUUUAUUGGGUUUAAAGGGUGCGCAGGCGGAUUUUUAAGUCAGCGGUCAAAUCGUGGGGCUCAACCCCAUCCAGCCGUUGAAACUGGGGAUCUAGAGUGUGCGAGAGGUAUGCGGAAUGCGUGGUGUAGCGGUGAAAUGCAUAGAUAUCACGCAGAACCCCGAUUGCGAAGGCAGCAUACCGGUGCACAACUGACGCUCAGGCACGAAAGCGUGGGUAUCGAACAGGAUUAGAUACCCUGGUAGUCCACGCAGUAAAC